GUGUCUCAGGCCAGAUUUGGACCUCAGGAAGGGGAGUUUUCCUGACUCCAAGCCCUGCACUGUGCACUAUGGUGCCCUCUAGCACCCCAUAAGUUCAUCAUCUGUCAGACCUGAUGUGACUCCUUUACGUCCCCUACUACAGUGGUCACCUAUUAACAUCUAGGGUUACAGACAAACUCUUUAAGGCUUUAAAACCCUUCACCACCUCAUUGGCCAUUACUGACCCUCCAGCACGUGGCAUGAUGAGAAGAAGAUACACUUCUAUGAUAAAAUGAAGGAUUGAGCAUUCUGAUUCCAGGGUAAGAAGCCAUUAUUCCUCCCGCCUUUCACUGGAAAGAUGCAGUCAGUCAGUCAACAUCCACAAGAACCCUGCUACAGUCUUUGGGAUGGCUCAAGUGACCAGAGGGCUCUGGAAAGUCAUCUCUGUGCCACAAACUGGGCCAGGUUUCACUCAAUUCAAAGGUUCUGAAUCUAGACCCAGUGAAGGACUUAACAGUGUGUGGAGGUGGCCUGUGGACCAGCCAAACAAAGUGCCAAGAUCGUACCACAAGAUAAGCUGCCCUCCCUCUGUAAGCAAGUAAGGGCCCAAAGGCCAUCAAUUGAGUUACGGUGUGACUGUAAGAUAAUCGGUAGAAGAAAGAUUAUGGAAUAGUACACGAAAAUUCCUCACUAUUCUUACAACAACAACAAUUAUUUAAAUAAUAAGGUGAGGAAGUUCCUUUUGAAUACCUGGGGAAUUGUAACUAUAAAUUAAAGUUAAGUGAUGCUUAUUAAGGCUUUCAGGAUAGGUGCUUUAAAAUGUAAAUAGUUUAGGGCAAAACAAUCUCAUCCAUCUGGGGCCUUCAACUCUUUAGAACAGGUGUGAGAACCCUAAAGACAGAGGGACCAGAGAGUCUGCUUACUUUACCCACAAUUGUAACAGGUUAGUUAUAUAGUUUUCUAUAGCUGCCAAGGAGGUUGGG